ensembl:snoRNA
AUCCUUUUCAGUUUGUAAGCAUGACGAUGGGGUGUUCAUGCUGUCGUGUGAGAUGUGCCUGCCUCUAAACCUUGUUAUGACAGUGGGUCCAUUACCUGUCUAACA